rnacentral:rRNA from 1 species
UACGUAGGUGGCAAGCGUUAUCCGGAAUUACUGGGCGUAAAGCGCACGUAGGCGGUCGGCUAAGUCUGACGUGAAAGCUCCUGGCUUAACUGGGAGAGGUCGUUGGAAACUGGCUGACUUGAGGCGAUGAGAGGGACGUAGAAUUCCCGGUGUAGUGGUGGAAUGCGUAGAUAUCGGGGAGGAAUACCAGUGGCGAAAAGCGGCGUCCUAGCAUCGGCCUGAC